rnacentral:rRNA from 1 species
CUCAGGAUGAACGCUGGCGGCGUGCUUAACACAUGCAAGUCGAACGGGAUCCAUCAAGCUUGCUUGGUGGUGAGAGUGGCGAACGGGUGAGUAAUGCGUGACCGACCUGCCCCAUACACCGGAAUAGCUCCUGGAAACGGGUGGUAAUGCCGGAUGUUCCAGUUGAUCGCAUGGUCUUCUGGGAAAGCUUUCGCGGUAUGGGAUGGGGUCGCGUCCUAUCAGCUUGACGGCGGGGUAACGGCCCACCGUGGCUUCGACGGGUAGCCGGCCUGAGAGGGCGACCGGCCACAUUGGGACUGAGAUACGGCCCAGACUCCUACGGGAGGCAGCAGUGGGGAAUAUUGCACAAUGGGCGCAAGCCUGAUGCAGCGACGCCGCGUGAGGGAUGGAGGCCUUCGGGUUGUAAACCUCUUUUAUCGGGGAGCAAGCGUGAGUGAGUUUACCCGUUGAAUAAGCACCGGCUAACUACGUGCCAGCAGCCGCGGUAAUACGUAGGGUGCAAGCGUUAUCCGGAAUUAUUGGGCGUAAAGGGCUCGUAGGCGGUUCGUCGCGUCCGGUGUGAAAGUCCAUCGCUUAACGGUGGAUCCGCGCCGGGUACGGGCGGGCUUGAGUGCGGUAGGGGAGACUGGAAUUCCCGGUGUAACGGUGGAAUGUGUAGAUAUCGGGAAGAACACCAAUGGCGAAGGCAGGUCUCUGGGCCGUUACUGACGCUGAGGAGCGAAAGCGUGGGGAGCGAACAGGAUUAGAUACCCUGGUAGUCCACGCCGUAAACGGUGGAUGCUGGAUGUGGGGCCCGUUCCACGGGUUCCGUGUCGGAGCUAACGCGUUAAGCAUCCCGCCUGGGGAGUACGGCCGCAAGGCUAAAACUCAAAGAAAUUGACGGGGGCCCGCACAAGCGGCGGAGCAGGCGGAUUAAUUCGAUGCAACGCGAAGAACCUUACCUGGGCUUGACAUGUUCCCAACAAUCCCAAAAAUGGGGUUUCCCUUCGGGGCGGGUUCACAGGUGGUGCAGGGUCGUCGUCAGCUCGUGUCGUGAGAUGUUGGGUUAAGUCCCGCAACGAGCGCAACCCUCGCCCCGUGUUGCCAGCGAAUUGUGCCGGGAACUCACGGGGGACCGCCGGGGUUAACUCG